rnacentral:tRNA from 1 species
GAGGGUACAGCUCAAGUGGCAGAGCACAUGCUUAGCAUGCAUGAGGUCCUAGGUUCAAUCCCCAGUACCUCCU